AGACAGUGAAUCAUGCUUACCAUGCAGUCGAGCGGGGGAGAUUGCUUCGGUAAUUGACCUAGCGGCGGACGGGUGAGUAAUACUUAGGAAUCUGCCUAUUAAUGGGGGACAACAUCUCGAAAGGGAUGCUAAUACCGCAUACGCCCUACGGGGGAAAGCAGGGGAUCACUUGUGACCUUGCGUUAAUAGAUGAGCCUAAGUCGGAUUAGCUAGUUGGUGGGGUAAAGGCCUACCAAGGCGACGAUCUGUAGCGGGUCUGAGAGGAUGAUCCGCCACACUGGGACUGAGACACGGCCCAGACUCCUACGGGAGGCAGCAGUGGGGAAUAUUGGACAAUGGGGGGAACCCUGAUCCAGCCAUGCCGCGUGUGUGAAGAAGGCCUUAUGGUUGUAAAGCACUUUAAGCGAGGAGGAGGCUCUUUUGGUUAAUACCCAAGAUGAGUGGACGUUACUCGCAGAAUAAGCACCGGCUAACUCUGUGCCAGCAGCCGCGGUAAUACAGAGGGUGCGAGCGUUAAUCGGAUUUACUGGGCGUAAAGCGUGCGUAGGCGGCUUUUUAAGUCGGAUGUGAAAUCCCCGAGCUUAACUUGGGAAUUGCAUUCGAUACUGGGAAGCUAGAGUAUGGGAGAGGAUGGUAGAAUUCCAGGUGUAGCGGUGAAAUGCGUAGAGAUCUGGAGGAAUACCGAUGGUGAAGGCAGCCAUCUGGACUAAUACUGACGCUGAUGUACGAAAGCAUGGGGAGCAAACAGGAUUAGAUACCCUGAUAGUCCAUGCCGUAAACGAUGUCUACUAGCCGUUGGGGUCAUUGAGACUUUAGUGGCGCAGCUAACGCGAUAAGUAGACCGCCUGGAGAGUACGGUCGCAAGACUAACACUCAGAUGAAUUGACGGGGUCCGCACAACGGAGAAGAAUGUGCUUCAAUCGAUGCACGAGAAGAACCUUACCUGGUCU
rnacentral:rRNA from 1 species